rnacentral:ncRNA from 1 species
GCGGAAGUAUAGCUUCCUUAUUUUCUAUUUCCUCCCGUGAGUUUAUUUUUUAUCAUAAAAAUAAAGUAAACAGUUAUGGGGUUCGUUAAUAAGGCUUGGCUCUGACCUAUAUGUAUAGUGUAGACUAGAGAAAACACAUGAUUUUUAUUGAUAGAGGCGAGGAAGAAAUCCACUAAGGAAUAGUAAUAUCUUGUUAUUAAAACCUUGGUUUUCUUAGGUAUUAUGUUUAAUAUGAUGCUUUGAAAAGUCCCGCUAACGUCAGUGUUUGAUAUUGAAAAAAGGAAGAAAUUCUGAAUUAGUUUAGUACCUAAAGGCCUGGUAAACUUGGUGCCAGCAUCCGCGGUUAGACCAAGAUGGCCAAAUUAUGCUACUUAGGUUGAAAAGGCAGUUAAGCAAGGUCAUUAAGGUUAUAAGAUUGUUAAUUGAGAAGUGAAAUUCAAACAUGAAUAAAUAGAUCGUAAUAUACCGUUCAAGCUGAAUCUGCGACAGUUUAUAGGGAAACUGGGAUUAGAUACCCCAUUAUUAUUUACUGUAAAUUGAUUAUAUUUACCCGAGUACUAUGAAUAUGAAGGAAUUUAAAACUCAAAGGGCUUGGCGGUGUUUUAGACCACUUAGGGGAACCUGUCUCAUAAUCGAAAGUCCACGUUAUACCUAGCCUCUUUUUGUGUUCAGUCUGUAUACCGUCGUCGUCAGGUAACUUUGAAAAAUAUAGAAGUUGGCCAAAAAAUCACUUUAAAUUUAGACGUCAGAUCAAGGUGCAACCUACAAGGAGGAGAGGAUGGGUUACAAUUAAGAAUUAUAAUACGGAAAGGAGAUUGAAAUUUCUAGCUAUAAGGAGGACUUAAAAGUAAGAAUUUAAUUAUAAAGAUUUUCUGAAUUUGGCUCUGAAACGUGCACACAUCGCCCGUCGCUCUCGUUGAAAAAUGAGAUAAGUCGUAACACAGUAGGGGUAAUGGAAAUUGUUCCUGGAUG